AUAGACUGCAUCUUAAAAAACAAAUUUAGUUAAAAAAUAAUAAAAUUUUGAAAUAAAUAAUUUUUUUAUGUCGAAUAAUUAUUCAGUGAAACACGUGGAUUUCACGUCAAAUCGAUGAUCUCAUCCACGUGGACUACAGUACCGUUCUUGAGUGGAUUGUCCACUCGAAUGUCCACGUGGAUUCCACGAUGCUGAUCCACGUAGCAAUAACGUGGAUUUCAAGUACUGUUUUUAUCGGGUAUAGACUAAAGAAAAGAUGCACCGAGCAUAAACUGCUAUUGUGGGCAAGAGUGGUUCUGGAGGUCGAUUGUGUAUCUUAAAAUGAGGUGAAAAUUACAAAAGUAAACAGAUUUACUAGAUUUCGACAAAUAAAAUCGUAGAUACAUUAGUAAAUUUCCUCACGUUUAUAAUUUUUACCUUGUUUCAAGAUACACGCAAUCGAGUCCCUGAUAACGGCCGGAGGACGGGAGUUACGUGUGAAUUUGGCUAUACUUUGGUUUAGACUCAGAAACAUUCGGAUGAUUUAGUUCUGCGUACUACGGCAUGCACCCGAUAAAAAUGGUAGUGUAGUGUUCUGAAAAUAACAAAAGGAAAAUUAAAGAAAGGUUGUCCACGAAAGGAGGGAAGAGAGAAGAACUUUAUAAGGAAAGGAGAGACAAAGAAAGGCAACCUCUAUAGAGUAAAAGAGUUUAAAGGGUAAAGAUCAAGGGUCUCGACUGCUCGAAGCCUAUAAGCGUUAGAUGGAACUUGGGUUCCUCGCGAAUCAAAGUAUGAAGAGAGAAGAAUGUUGCUGCUGACCAUCGACAUCGACGACAUUACCGACAUCACUUGGUGGUACAUCUUUCAGAAGAACGAGAUCAACGCAGAGAGGUAGUACAUGGCCAUUUUGAAGGGCCAGAUUUUCAAGUGGCUGCGUUUAAAAAAAAUUAAGAGUCCCAUGCUAUUGCACAUGAUAACGCCAGACUGAACAAAGCAAAAGGACUUUUUGCGGCAGCAAGGAAUUGGGCAAUGGUGAAACCCACCGUAUUCAUCACAUAAGUUCAUGUGACUACGAUUGUUAUUGUGGCCUCUGAAAAGAGCUCUGAGAGGCUGAGAGAGAUUGAGUUUGAACAGAAGCUUAAAAGAGCUAUAUUUACAAAGGGAUGUCUGAUAUGGCCUCUACCGCAGUGUCCGGCGACUACCGAAGCGAUAGGAAGAGGUCAUCAAUCAUCAAGCACGAUGGGGAUUACUUGUAAACAUAUUAAAAUUUCAUUGUUCUCUUAUUUUUAGUUUCCUCUUUAUAAUAAAAAUCGCAUCCCCCUGAAUUUUGUAAACAACCCAAUAAUUACUGCCAUAGAUAUUAUUAGAUAUAUUAAAUAUUAAAUUAUAUAUCAAAUCUUAUUUUCUGCUCUAGAGGAAACAGUUAUGAUUUGUGCCUAUAUUUAAGUUGAAUAAAUCCCGGUCUACAAUAGGUAUUUUAAACUCUAAACCACAUAAGAAAUUGACCAAUCGUAAUUGAUUAUUCUCCUCACCUUUGACUGUAAUUGGCCAAUUUCUUACAGCUUAAAGCUGUAUUGUAGCGUUCCAUCUAACCGAAAUAAUUGACCGGAGCCAUUCAUAUCGACUGGUGCUUGGACUUUUUCCCUUAGACCAACCAAUUAGAAGGUUCUGUGUUAAAUUGUCCACACAUAGGUAAUGAGCAGUCUCUGGUUCAUGUUCAUAGUCUGUUCUUAUUUGUCAAAGUAAUAAUGUCUUAAUAAGUAAUGCCUUGAGAUGCUAAUACGGCUCUGUGAUUAAUUUAUAACAUCUUAAGAUAUUGUACUUAAGAGCAGGUUCUUAAAUAUAAGAACGAUGAAUACCGCUCUCACUCCUUAUUAGGUCAUUAUCCGACUUCGACUUUAUAAGAUUAAAACCGAGAUUAAAGUUAAUCGGCAUUGAUAGAAAUGGACAUGAAAGAUCUUAAACAUGUUCUCGAGAUACCAUACAGUCUUUAUAAAAUUGGACUAUGAAUAUUAUUUUUAUAAUUUUUUUUCUCUUUUUUUGCCUCUUUCUGCUUACUUUUUCAAAUGUUGCCUUUUUUAGCUGUUUUUUUAACUUGCUUGUAUUUUCUUUUGGGGUUUUUCUUUCGCUACUGGCGACUUUAUACUGUAAAUCCUACUACACGUUGCUCUAUUCUCUAUUCAUAUAAUGAUUAUGAAGUCAAUAGAAGAUUCUAGGCCAUGGUCUUAAAUGGACAUCAUAAAAGCGAUGCGACUAAUCUUGUGCGCUACAACUUAACGCAAAAUUUCGAUAUCUUGUUAUGCAAAAAUGUAUUUAACUUCCAUUCUUUUAUUUAUGUUGAAUUUUCUUAUAUAAGACAAAGAGAAUUCGGGCAAUAAGUGAAGGAUAGAAUCAAGAGAAGGAAAGAGUAUAAAAUGAAUUUAUAAGCAUCUGUGUAUUAAUUAAAAAUUGCAGGUUUUUUAUUCAUAUAUGCUUUAAGGAGACAUAUGAGAAAAGGCGUACAAUAUAUAUCACAUAAAUUUCGUCACUGGUUAUUGUACAGCGCUAAAAUCGAUUAUUUUCGCUAGAGGCAAUCACAGUUGAACCGCCCUAAACAAAUCGGAGUAAACAAAUAUUACAAAAAUGAAAAAUAAAUAAUGUGUACAAUUAUCA